rnacentral:tRNA from 1 species
CAGAGAAUAGUUUAUUAAAAUAUUAAUUUUGGAGAUUAAAGAUAGAAAGUUAUUCUUUCUCUGA